UACGUAGGGUGCAAGCGUUUGUCCGGAAUUAUUGGGCGUAAAGAGCUCGUAGGCGGUUUGUCGCGUCGAAUGUGAAAACCCGGAGCUCAACUCCGGGCCUGCAGUCGAUACGGGCAAACUGGAGUACUGCAGGGGAGACUGGAAUUCCUGGUGUAGCGGUGAAAUGCGCAGAUAUCAGGAGGAACACCGGUGGCGAAGGCGGGUCUCUGGGCAGUAACUGACGCUGAGGAGCGAAAGCGUGGGGAGCGAACAGG
rnacentral:rRNA from 1 species